rnacentral:rRNA from 1 species
AGUGGACGCGAGCAUCUGUGGCCAAGUUUUUAAGGGCGCACGGUGGAUGCCUUGGCACCAGGAACCGAUGAAGGACGUGGGAGGCCGCGAUAGGCCCCGGGGAGCUGUCAACCGAGCUGUGAUCCGGGGGUGUCCGAAUGGGGAAACCCGGCAGUCGUCAUGGGCUGUCACCCAUGCCUGAACACAUAGGGCAUGUGGAGGGAACGCGGGGAAGUGAAACAUCUCAGUACCCGCAGGAAGAGAAAACAACCGUGAUUCCGGGAGUAGUGGCGAGCGAAACCGGAUGAGGCCAAACCGUAUGCGUGUGAUACCCGGCAGGGGUUGCGCGUGCGGGGUUGUGGGAG